CUGGGCGGGGACCAGGUUUUUCUCCACUGCCUAGGCAAUGGACCCAGGCUCUGGCUGCCAACGGGUGAAGAGCCUAGGUGUUUUUGAUCUGUGCCUUCUCUGUUCCUCAGAGAUAUGCGGGCGUCCUUCUAGAAGCCCAUCUCGCUCACCUGUGUGGUCACCCUUGUCCCGCCCUUCCUCCGAAGGCUUCAUUUCCCUUUAGAGGAGGAAGAACUCAGCCAACAGAGAAAAGCAGAGCUGAAAAUGGAGCCAGUGUGGGGAAGGAGAGGAAAGCAAAAAGCCUGGAUCCAGCUAUGCCUGAAAUUAGAGAUUCCAGAACUCUCAAACACACGAGUAAU
rnacentral:lncRNA from 1 species